rnacentral:rRNA from 1 species
ACGAGCCUCUGGUGUUCCGGUUGUCAUGUCAGUGGCAGCGCCGGGUAGCUAUGCUCGGAAUGGAUAAGCGCUGAAAGCAUCUAAGCGCCAAGCCACUCCCGAGAUGAGAUCUCCCUGGGACUUCGAGUCCCCUGAAGGGUCCUGGUAGACCACCAGGUAGAUAGGCCGGAUGUGUAAGCGCAGCAAUGCGUUGAGCUAACCGGUACUAAUGACCCGUGAGGCUUAUGAAU